rnacentral:lncRNA from 1 species
UAAUUCUUUCUCCUUCGCACACUCUGCAAGUUCAGUGAGUUUUACAAUUCGUCUGGGCUUCUUUGGAUCCUUUGAGUAUGAGAUUUUUCCUCUGUCUAUGUUCAUAUUUCUUAUAUGAAUUCUGUCUUUUGUGAUUUUUCAUUCUGUUUGCCUCAAUUUUCGAGUGUCUAUUGUGUUUAUUAAAUUUUAUAAGUUUUCUCCCCAAUUUUUUUCUCCUUAUGUUGUGUACUGGAUUUCACUUCUGGAUUUCUUUGAAAGUUUUGUCUAUUUUUGUUCGAUGUUGGUUUCUCUAUUCUUUUGAAUAAUUUCUUGCUAGAUUUUCUAUCUCAUUUUGAUAUGCAUGUCUGGAAAGAAAUAUCUAGGUGCAUUGCACCACAUAUACUAGCAUUCUCAUAAAAAGAAAUACCUAAGUGCAUGCUCUUUGUGUUCUGAUCUUGAUUGUGUAAAUUGGGGUAUUUAGUGGAAAAAAUUUUUUCUUUAAAGGUUCUGAUUAAGGGUGAAAUAGGUUGUAUUAUCGAAUUAUGAAUUAUUUUCGGAGUAAUUUCAUAUUUGAUCUUUAUUCGAAGUAUGUAUACUGCUUUAAUGGCAGACUUGAGUGCUACAGGUGUCAUGAGCAGCUUCCUUCUUUCAUUUGUUCUCUUUCAGGACAUUCUUAAGUUUUCAGAUAAGAGGGUUGAUGAUUCAUUUUUCCUCCAUAUUUCGCAAAAGUUCAUUUGAUUGCAGUGCAAAGCUAUCCGCAUAUGGAAGAAGAUUUGUAAGGGGAAAAAAGUAAGUUUUAGUCAUCCUGUGUGUUUUUGUCUUCCUUACUGCUCUUGGCCAUGGAUUCUUGAUUCAUUUCAAAAUUUCUAUUGUGGUUUCCCUUUGUAUGUGGAUUUGCUGAUUUUUUUUCUCUUUUUCUUAUUGAUGAGCAUUUAGAUGUUCGAUUCUAUUUUUGAUAAGAUUAUUGAUUUACAAUUUUCACUCGCUCUCUGAAAGUAUCUUUGCAUUUCGCUUUGUUUUUCUUUUUAAUACUCCUACAGAGUAUGUGAUUUUGAAUAUUUGUUUGCUUUUUCUCUUUCUUCAUGUAUGUAGUUAUUUGUUAGAACUCUUCUAUGGAAGCACUGAAUGUUCAUCAAGAAUAAAUAGUAGUAACAAAAAUGGAAGAACUUUGAUGCAACAAAAGUGUUUGACAAUAAACCUGAAACAACUGAAAGAGCUUUUAUUCCUCUUUUUUCAGUUGUUCUAUAACAUAAAUAUACUAUCAUUUAGCAACUCCAAAUCUAUAUUACUUUUACUAGUAUUAAGAGAAAGCAAUGAGAGUUCUAAUCAUCAAACCGUUCCGACACACGGUUUAAAACUAGAGUCACCCCUAGGCGCCACACCUCAUAAUGACAAAUCCCGAGUCACAAAUCACAAAUCAAAUACACAUGGAAUCUCAUGCCCCCAUUAUCAAUCACCUUCGCACGGCUAAGAUCUCGUUCUAUAGUAUAACUCACAACCGUACGGACAACUCAUGUAUUUCCUAGACAACUCGCGUGCCAAUAUCACAAUCCACCCAGCAUGGUCACAUGCUCAAUAUCACAAUCCACCCGGUGUGGUCACAAGAUCAAUAUCGCAAUUAGCCCGGUGUGAUCACGGGCUACCAUUCCAAACCAUAUCGCAGAAAAACUAGAUAUACAAUAAUACAUGUACAUUAUCAAUGAACAUCAUGUUUUAUACUCCUGGACCGGUAUAAAUGACAUGUUACAGUAUAUGCAUGUACAAGUGUAAUAUCACAGCUCAAAUCAUCAAGUAAUAUCAUAAACAUUGAGUAGCACAUUGGGAACAACAAAACAAGUCACGUAAUAUGCAUGACAUGCACAAGAAAGUCAAAAACAACAACCAUAAUACUCGUCUUUCAUCAACAACAUGCCCCUAAGACAUCACAUAACAUCCCCAUAUCGCCACCCUUAUCUCACUAUUUUGACAAUAUCAUAAUAGCCACAUGUAUCGCUCCACUCGGACAAUAUAUCAAUAGCCACUCGUAUCCCUCCGCCCCGACAAUAACACAAUAGCCACCCUUAUCACUCCGCCCAGACAAUAACACAAUAGCCACAAGUAUCACUCCACCUAGAAAAUAACACAAUAGCCAUUUGUAUCACUCCGGUCGGACAGAAUAUCAAUAGGCACUAGUAUCACUCCGCACAAUCAACAAUAGUGAAAUGACACCCUUAUGAUCUGCACAAUCAACAAUAGUGAAGUGCCACCCUUAUGCUCCACACAAUAAUGAUCAAUCCCCACAACAUGUCCACAUAUGCCACAAUAUUUCCAAAACAACGAUACCAAUAUCAUAAUAAAGCAUAGCCCAUGGCUCAACAACAAUGUGUACUAGAAUUUCAAAAACAACAAAAUGAAAUGGGAAAUAAGUUGAAAAUAAAAGAUAUUUCAUAUAACAACAACUUCAAUUAAAAGCAUAUGAAUAACCUAAGGGUCCAAAACGAUCAAUUCCAUAUAUAAGAUCGGGUACAAACGUGUCACCCUGUAUACACGACUUUUACAUAAUUCAAAUAAUGCAAUUAGACCAAAUCUUGUAAGAUAGAUUCCUCCACACAAAGUUAGGCAAGAUAUUUAUCUUAAAAAAUAAAAUCAAUCCACUAAUAAGCCUUUUCUACGUGAAACAACCUCUGAACAGCUCGAAUCUAGUCAAAAUAACAUAAUUUCAUAUAUAAAAGCCAUAGAAAACAUUUUUCGAAUAAUAAAGAUUCGAUCUUGAACAAGAAUCAAAAAUUUUACCUUGGUUCUGCACCUUGGAACCCAACAAAACUUACAAAUUCUAAACACAUAUUCAAAUUCGAGUUCAACCAUACCAAAAUCAUCCAACUCCGACCUCAAAUCAGCCUUCAAAUUAUCAAUUUAUGUUGUAGAAAAGUUUUUACUAAAAUUCCCAAUUUCUCCAAUUUAAAACAUCAAGCAAACACUAAAAUCGAGGUUAGAAUCAUGAAAUAUAAAUAAAUCCGAGUCAAACACUUAUCCCAUUCCUAAUAUUGACCAGGGGUCCUCUUCGAGAUCGCGGGACUUGCUUCGCUAUAGUAAAGAGCAAAUCAUAAGAUUCCAAGAUUCCCUCUACGCGAAUGCAGUGUGAAGCCCGCGAAUGAGACCCCUCAGCUAAUCUAGCUUAUGUGAACACAACCUCAGUAUGUGAAUGCAAAGGCCAACCAUUGGCGCCCCUUCCUGCUCUGCCUCUACACGAUCGCGACACAAGGAACAUGAACGUUAUGAACAUCUCCCCUCCAGGUUCCGUGAAUGCGAAAACCGAAUCACAGAUGCGAUGAGCAAGUACUCAGCCACCCAAAAUACACUUCACAAUCGCAUAUUGCCUUCCUCAAUUGCGACGAACUGUAGAACAUCAGAAAAACCAGCAAUUCCAAAACAUGAAGAAAUGGCUCGUAGCCCAUCCGAAACACACCUGAGGCCCCGAGACCCCAUCCAAUCACACUAACCAAUCUCAAAACAUAAUAGGGACCUACUCGAUACCUCAAAUCACACCAAAAAUUAUCAAAACUAUGAACCACACCUCAAUUCAAGCCUAAUGAAUAAAUAAAAUUUCAACUUCCAAAGUUCAUGUCGAACUAUAUGAAAUCAAUUUGGAAAAACUUAAAAUUUUGCAUGCAAGUCCCAAAUGAUACAACAGACCUAUACCAACUCCGGAAAUCAUAAUCUGAACUUGAUAUGAACAAAGUCAACUCUCAAUCAAACCUAUCAACCUUACAAACCUUUUACUAUUCAACUUUCGCCAAUUCAAGCCAAAACAACCUAAGAGCCUCAAAAUCCACCUCCGGACAUACGCCUAAGUCAAAAAUCACCAUUUGGACCUAACAGGGCCAUCAAAACUCUAAUCCAAGAUCAAAUAUGCAAAAGUCAAACUUGGUCAACUCUUUCCAAUUAAAGCUUCUAAAAGAAGAAUUAUCCUUCUAAAUCCAUCCCAAACUGCUCAAAAACCCAAAACCGAACACGCAAAUUUUAAUACAUCAUAUGAAUCUACUCUCAACCUCGAACCGCUGAACAAAAAUCCAAAUGAUCAAAAUGACCAGUAAGGUCAUUACAGAUGUGGUACAGAAUAUUUUUCUCCUGUGUUAUAAGGACAUACUACUAUAGUCACCCUUGGGAGGGCUAGCCGUCUAUUGCAUCCCAAGUGCUAGUGUUUCCCAGGGGUUCGAGGCAUGAUACAAUGUAUUGUGAUAAUUCAUGCAUCGGUCUUGAUGCGGUGUUAGUGCAUAAUAGUAGAGUGAUUACUUAAGUUUGCAGCAGCAGCGGUCCUAUGAGAAGGAUUAUCCACUUUAUGAUUUGGAGCUUACAUCUAUUCCAAUAGAGGAGAGGCAUUUGGUUAUGGAUGUUUAGACUAUGGUCGAUAGAUUUGCGACUAUUUCUGAGCUUAAUAGAGUUCUCACUUGUAUUGCUGCGCAAUCAUCCUUGUUUGACCAUAUUAAGGAUAUUCAGUAUGAUGGUUUCCAUUUGUUUUUCCUUAGGAACAAGAUUGGGGAGGUAGUGCUAAGGAGGUAAUCCUUACUAUGGACGGUGUGGUGCGACUUCUGGGUCGAAUUUGUGUUUUCAGUGUUAAUGGUUCGAGAGAUUGAUUCUUGAGGAGGUUCGUAGUUGUGGUAUUUUAUUCGUACAGGUGAUACAGAGAUGUAUCAUGAUUCGAGCUAGCAUUAUUGGGGCAGCUGAUGAAGAAGGACAUUAUUGGGCAUGUCUCAUGGUGUUUGAUUAUCAACAAGUUUAGAAUGAGCAUCAUUGGUCGAGUGGUUUACUUUGAAAGAUAGCUAUACUGGUGUGGAAGUGAGAGCAUCCAAAUCCACUACUAAAAUGUAAAUGGACAUGGUCGCAUGUAAUAUAAUAUACCCAACUAUGAGUCGGGAUCGAAUCCCACAGAGAACAAUAUGUAGGCGAUUAGGAAUGUAAGAGAAUUAUCACUUGUUAUGCAAUGUCAAACAUUAAGAAUAGAUUUGAGAAAAGAUUUAUAUCUAAAAGCGGAAAUGUAAACUAACCUAGAAAGCAAGUAAAAUGAUCAACGGCUACAAGUAUGGAUGCAUCGGGAAUUACACACAAGUAACGAUCUAAUGUAUUUCAUGAUUUUACAAAUAUGAGCGAGUUUAUUUUAAUUAGCCACGGGUAAUAAUUCUAUAUUAGCUUCUUCCAAAGACUAACAAGACUUCCUAAUUGAAUUAUCCCUUAAACCAAUUAAGAGAUUAAGCACACCCGAUUAUGGCUACAAGUAGUUCAAUCAUAUCCCUAAGUAGAAUCUAUAAAAUGAGGGUUUAAGCCUUAAGUUCUUGUUAAUUAAUCUUUCCCAACCCCAAUAAUUUUUCGCAAAAUUAAUUAGGAGUUAAUGGGCAAGUCCUAGGGUUAGCUAAUCCCUUUGGAAACACUAAAGAACAAGAAUAAUUAAAGAAACAAUAACUCACUUCAUAAAAAGAUAAAAAUUAUUCAAUACAUAAACACAACAAGGUAUUUAAUUCACACUUUAAAUCUGAUUAUUUCCAUAAACAAGAUUCAAAUGUUAAAUAAAAUACUACACACUAAGAUAUUCAAUACGAAGCAAAGAAUGAAGAAAUGAACAUAAAUGGGUAAGAAAUUCUCAAACAAUAGCUUCAAAUCUUCAAGACCCAAGUGUGUGUACAAACCCUAGCUCCCAAAACUUGUUCUCUCUAGUGUUUGGAACUGAAAAUAAGCAAAAACAAUCUUUACAAAUGAGAUGGUUUGUGUAUUAAAUGGUUUGGAGUCAGAGUUGUGAAUUUCUAGAACUACCCAGUUUUUUUGCCUAGUUUCUUCUUCGCGUUCGUGACUACACCCUCGCAUUCGCAAAGGUUUGUUUUCCAAAAGCUUUGCGUUUGCGUCUGAACCUUCGCGUUCGUGAAGGUUUGAGUUCUGAUGCUUCGCGUUCGCAUUAGGUACUUCGCAUUCGCGAAGAUCUAGUUUCCUACUUCUUCGCGUUCGCGAAGGGUAAAUCGCUGGGCAGGUUCUCAUUAUCCAUUUUAGCUCCUUUUUGACUUGUUUUCACUUGGUUUCUUCACCACUACUCCUAAUUCACAUACAACCUGUAAAAUAGAAGUAAAUGACAUCAAACACAUGAUUUUAUCACUCAAACAUAGCAAAAAUAUAGGCUUAAAGACAAGAUAAGUUGGUAAAAUACCAACUUAUCAAACCCCCAAACUUAAACUAUUGCUUGUCUUCAAGCGAUGAAAGCGACAAAAUCUCCUCGCAAGUAUUUAACUCAAUAAUGCAUCCAUAUCAUGCCAAGCCAAAAAGGUCUACUAUAAGCACAAACACAUGACUUCGAUUGGUACCAAUAAUUAAUCCAAACCAUAUGAAUUACCAAACAUUGCUCAUGAACUUCAUUAUAUUUCAAGUGCUCAAACACUACAAAUCAAAGUAGCAAUCAAGUCAUGACACUAAAGCUUCACAAUUUGCCUUUUUAUCACAAUUAACUUUCUUUGGUCAUUCCUUCCAAUUGAAAUGGGAUUAAAUUCAAAACUCAAAUCUCAUGGUCCCUCACAUUUAAAAGAGAAUCUCACACUCAUAAAUCUUAAUUCAAAACAAUAAUGGGAUAUCAAAUGGAAAGAAUUAACUCUCUCUCACAAAGAUGUUCCAAUGCAUACAAGUAGUACCAUAGGCUUGCCCUUCAUGUAUUUCUCCACUAAUAUAGACAACUUGGUUCAAAAUCAUUUAGGACUUAAAGGGUUGUGGUUUAGGCUUUUGGUUAAGGUAGGGCACAAUUUUGGUUAGAGUGACUCAAAACCUCCCCAAGCACUACAAUAUUUACAAUCAAAGUCCACUUCCUUCAAAAACAUUGUCCAUCAUUUCUUCACUUUUUUAUUCCACACCUAAUCUUCCCUUUAUUCAUAACUUCUUAUAAUUUAUUUUUUCUUCCUUCCUUUUCAAUAUCAAGGAAAGUUUCACUUUUUUUUUUAUUAUUACCUUCCACCUUUUAAGCAACUUCUAUAUCACAACUUUUUCAACCUUCACCCCCAAACUUAGGCUUUUAGCCUAUGUUUACACUUCCAAAGUACUUAGGGAGGUAGGUUGCCAAAAUCUAGAUUAAUAAAGAAUAAAGGAUUAAAGCUUGUAACAUGGCUGCCAAAGAACAAGGUUAAAGGCUCAAAAUGGGUUGACUAGGAAAAUAUUCAAGGGUAGGAAAUUUAAGGCACAAUAGCGGUCCAAAGAAGGCCUAAUAUUAUUUUUCAAAUCAAACUAGUCUAUGAUUUCUCCUUGAAGCACAUUCUGGGCAAGGUCUAGACUAAAAAUAAUGUAAAAGAACUCACAAUAAAUCUCACCACACAUGGCACAUGAACACUCAAGUGGAAUACAAAUCCAAAAUCCAAUUGAAACCAAUGACUCAAAGAGGUUACAUAUAUCAUAGGAAGCUAUUUAGUGAAUCAAAGAGCCAAAAAUUUUAGUCUAAAAGUCAUGACAAUGAUCUUUACUUGAAUUAUUUUUCUUUUUCAACGACCAAAAAUUCAUAUGCUGAGGUUUAAAUCAUGUUGGUACCAAGCAAGCCACAACUUGAUCAAUGGGCACAAACCCCAACUCAAACCACUUAUUCUUCUAAGAAAGUCGCCUAGUUAUCCAUCAUCGGGAAAAGUCGACAAAAAUUUACUAACAAUUACCCGGUUCAAAAAAAAUUUGCAUCCUCAGAAAAAGAACCGUGGUACAAAGAAAACCAAGGAAAUCGCCACCAAAAUACAGCAUACUAUAUAAACAAAAAAUUAAAAAGCUAGUAAACAUCAAGUCACUAAAACAUACUGUAUAUAAAAACAAAAAUUCAAGAAACUAGUAAACAUACUAAUAUAACACAUUACAUGAAAAUACAAUAACAAUUAAUAAACUAAAGCAUCGACCAAUCUACACAAAUUAUCACACAAAAAAGAAAAAAUUGUUCAUGCUCCACAUACAUCCAUCAUAUAUAAAUGAGUCACCCCCAACCUAAAGUGUUACACUGUCCUCAAUGCAACUAAUCAAAACAAGAUAAAAUGAAGGAGGUGCUCCCUGAAAAUGCAUCAGUCGGAGCUGGAGGUGGUGGGAAAAUUGAGCUCCAAAUCGGCAUCAUCAUCAUCAUCUUAUUCAUGUGACCCACAAAUGAACUCAGCUUGUACAUCAUCUUGGAUAGAAAUUUGCUUUUCUUCUUCUCAUGCUCCUUGAACUUCCUCUGCCUCUUCUCAAUCUUCCCUUGUCGGUGGCUCAUAUUCUCCAGCCUGGUGUUCAUGGUCUCCAUCUUGCCCGUGAUUGCUUGUUACUCUUUGACUACAUCAUCCAUGGAUGGUGGGGCAGCAGUGCUAGUAGAUGUGCUAGCUCCAGGUGGGCUAGUAGUAAGGCCAGCUAUAAGUUGUCGAAUAUGUGCAUCUACUCCAUGUAUCUGACUGGAUAAGUGGCGCAUAGUGUGCGGGCCGGACUAGAGUGGUCCCAUGGGGUCAAAUGACCCUAAUACAGGUGCAAAGGAUCCAGCAGGAUCAGUGGUGGCCUCAGAGAACUGCCCAAAUGAAGAGGAUGUAACAUCAAUUCUCCUCUUUUUCUACUUGUCACUGGGUCCCCUUUUCAGCAAAGGAUGCAUCGGGAAUUACACACACGUAACGAUCCAAUGUAUUUCAUAAUUUUACAAAUAUGAGUGAGUUUAUGUUAAUUAGUCACGGGUAAUAAUUCUAUAUUAGCUUCUUUCAAAGACUAACAAGACUUCUUAAUUGAGUUAUCCCUAAAACAAUUAAGAGAUUAAGCACACCUGAUUAUGGCUACAAGUAGUUCAAUCUUAUCCCUUGGUAGAAUCUAUAAAAUGAGGGUUAAAGCCUCAAGUUCUUAUUAAUUAAUCUUUCCCAAACCCAAAUAAUCUUUCCCAAAAUUAAUUCAGAGUUAAUGGACGAGUCCUAAGGUUAGCUAAUCCCUUUGAAAAUAUUAAAGAACAAGAAUAAUUAAAGAAACAAUAACUUACUUCAUAAAAAGAUAAAAAUCAUUCAAUACAUAAGCACAAUAAGGUAUUUAAUCCACACUUUAAAUAAGAUUAUUUUCAUAAACAAGAUUCAAGUGUUAAAUAAAAUACUACACACUUAGAUAUUCAAUAUAAAGCAAGGAAAUGAAGAAAUGAACAUAAAUGGGUAAGAAAUUCUCAACUAAUAGCUUCAAAUCUUCAAGAUCCAAGUGUGUGUGCAAACCCUAGCUCCCAAAACUUGUUCUCUCUAGUGUUUGGAACUGAAAAUAAGCAAAACAAAUUUUUACAAAUGAGUUGGUUUGUGUAUUAAAUGGUUUGGGGUCAAAGUUGUGAAUUUUCAGAACUGCCCAGUUUUUCUGCCUAGUUUCUUCGUCGCGUUCACGACUACACCCUCGCAUUCGCGAAGGUCAAUUUUCCUUAAAAUUUGGGUUUGCGUCUGAACCUUCGCGUUUGCGAUGGUUUAAGUUUUGAUGCUUCGCGUUCGAGUUAGGUACCUCAUGUUCGCAAAGGUCUAGCUUCCUGCUUCUUCACGUUCGCGUUGGACCUUCGCGUUCACGAAAGGUAAAUCGCUGGGCAGGUUCUCAUUAUCCAUUUUAGCUCCUUUUUGACUUGUUUUCACUUGGUUUCUUUACCAUUACUCCUAAUUUAAAUACAACCUGUAAAAUAGAAGUAAAUGACAUCAAACACAUGAUUUUAUCACUCAAACAUAGCGAAAAUAUAGGCCUAAAGACAAGAUAAUUGGUAAAAUACCAACUUAUCAGUAUGAUUAUAGGGUUUGUGGUAGGGUUGCCAUGGGUUUCAAGGAAGUUUGAUUCUAUUUGGGUCAUUAUGGACAAUUGAGGGCAUUUCAUAUUGCUGGUGAAUUCUUACAUUUUGAGAGUUCAAAUUUAACAAGAAGGAUUUGCUUGAGCUAUUAAAAGAUUGUGCAUGCUUGAUUAUCAUUCUUGUGUGCAAUGUUAUUUUGAAGUAGGUUUUGUUUAUAUGUCUUCUAUUUAUUCAUUGAUGGAAUGUAGUAUUUUUUUGUGUCCCAUGGUCGAGUAUAGACUCAGAAGAAUCAAUUGAUUACAUAGUGGUUAUAUUCGAAGCAAGGUCAUAUGAAGAUAUUGAUAUGAUGUCACACGGGUGGUCUAUCUCAUGUGAGAAGGUUAGAGGUUACAUGAUUCAUUAUGAGAUUCUUAUGAAGAGGUUUACCUUCUACCCGAUGGGAUGUAUGUGGUACGAUAUGAGUAAGGUUGAGUGUGAAUUGGGUUGAUAGUUUGGGUUGCGUUAUGGUUAGUGCAGCAUGGACUUACAAGAAAUUCAACUGAGUAAUCGUGUGGGAUCAUGGCAGUUAAAAAGAAGCAGCCGUAAUGGGUUCUUAUGUUAUGUGUUUAUGGCUUAAAGCCAAGUGGGGAGCCCACCAUUGGCGAUUAGGUCUCCUACCAUGUGUUGUUACAGAUUACAGAUUAAAGGGCGCUUGUGGAUUUGAUAUGACUUGAGGAUGAUGACUUCAAGGAUGAAUCGGUCUAGAAAUUUUUAGAUGUGUGUUAUAUUUGACUUAGUAAAAUAUGGAUACUGUGGAAGGACUCGGGUUCGAUAUUCUUUAAUGGAGGUAGUGUGAAAGGGAAAGGAUUCGCUCAAUUAUUUCUGUUGUGGUAUUCAUGCGAUAAUGGAGCACUAAUCAUUCGACAUGAUUGGCUUUGUAUUCAAGAUUAGGACUGAGAGGGUGUUCCUCGAGAAGGUUCUAAUAGAUUCAAGAUUAAAUAUGUGGUAUCUAAGGAUUUCUGGAUUUGGGCGUGACUAAGGAUUCAAGAUUUUACGUUGCAUUGUGAAAGAGACUUGGAGCAUUUCUGUAUUACUAUCAAUUUUGUGAGGCAGUGUUUGAGAGAUGGAAUAAAUAACUUCAGAUUCAUAGAAGACCUCUUUAGAGCAGGUAUUUUGGUUUGAAGUACUAUUUGGCAUAUAAGAGGGAAUAAAGUGGCUUACGAGUCUUAGGAUGAUGAUAUUUCAUGUUCGGAUCACUUGGGAUGAGUUUGAUGGAGGUCCAUAGUGUAUUGGGAAAGAGUACUGUUUCUGUAAAGGUGGAUCAUGAGUAAUCUAAAAAAAUUAGGUCCGAUUAGCUCGGUGACACCAGAUUUUGGAUAGUUUCAGUUGUAUUUAAUUAUGACUUCAGUUAUUAAUGCUAUUCCAUAGUUUGAGACUAUUUUUUAUUAUUUUUGGAUUUUAAUUCUGCAUAUCUAUUAUUGUCUUUCCUAGCAAGCAUUAUUAGGCACCAUCAUAACUCUAGAGGGAUUCUAGAUCGUAAAAAGUUGGUAUCAAAGCACUAGAAUCAUAUAGGUCUCACAAGUCAUGAGCAUACCUAGUAGAGUCUUGCAGAUCGGCAUGGAGACAUCUGUAAUUAUAUUUGAUAGGCUAUAGGGUUUAGGAACUUUCCCUUGCUUGAUUCCUUAUCGUGCAACUUUAUCUCGGCUUAAAGCAUGUAUCUUUAGUUCUUUCCUAUUCAUUAGUAUGUGAUGUUGAGUACUUGAUAUUAGUUGGGCAUCAACGAGUUGUUUUGAUGAUACAGAUGUGGUGCAGAAUAUAUUUUUCAUGUAUUAUGAGGACAUGCUACUAUUGUCGCACUUGGGAGGGGUUGUCGUCUAUUGCAGCCCCAGUGUUGGUGUUGCCCAGGGGUUCGGAGCAUUAUAUAAUGUAUUGUGAUAAUUCACACAUUGGUCUUAAUGCAGUGUUGGUGUAGAAGAGUAGGGUGAUUGCUUAAGUUUUCAGCAGCAUCAAUCCUAUGAGAAGGAUUGUCCAGCUUAUGCUUUGUAACUUGCAUCUAUUCCUAUAGAGGAGAGGCAUUUAGUUAUGGAUGUUCAGGCUUUGGCUGAUAUAUU